CUGGCUUAAAGAGAACUAGAACAACAACACCAACUGUAAUGAAACAGCUGAGAAGAACUGCUCCAUCAGUCUUAUACUACACACACACAUCAUACACACACAUCACACACACACAUCAUACACACACAUGCUCCAUCACUCUUAUACUACACACACACAUCACACACACACAUGAUACACACACAUGCUCCACCAGUCUUAUACUACACACACACAUCAUACACACACAUGCUCCAUCAGUCUCAUACUACACACACAUGCUCCAUCAGUCUUGUACACACACACAUCAUACACACACAUCAUACACACACAUGCUCCAUCAGUCUUGUACACACACACAUCAUACACACACAUGCUCCAUCAGUCUUAUACUACACACACACAUCAUACACACACAUGCUCCAUCAGUCUUAUACUACACACACACAUCAUACACACACAUGCUCCAUCAGUCUUAUACUACACACACACACACACACAUCAUACACACACAUGCUCCAUCAGUCUUAUACUACACACACACACACACACAUCAUACACACACAUGCUCCAUCAGUCUUAUACUACACACACAUCAUACACACACACACAUCAGACACACACAUGCUCCAUCAGUCUUAUACUACACACACACACACACAUCAUACACACACAUGCUCCAUCAGUCUUAUACUACACACACACACACACACACACAUCAUACACACACAUGCUCCAUCAGUCUUAUACUACACACACACAUCAUACACACACAUGCUCCAUCAGUCUCAUACUACACACACACAUCAUACACACACAUGCUCCAUCAGUCUUAUACUACACACACACAUCAUACACACACAUGCUCCAUCAGUCUUAUACUACACACACACACACACAUCAUACACACACAUGCUCCAUCAGUCUUAUACUACACACACACAUCAUACACACACACACAUCAUACACACACACACACACAUCAUACACACUUGCUCCAUCAGUCUUAUACUACACACACACAUACACACACAUCAUACACACACAUGCUCCAUCAGUCUUAUACUACACACACACAUCAUACACACACAUGCUCCAUCAGUCUUAUAUUACACACACACAUCAUACACACAUCACACACACACAUGCUCCAUCAGUCUUAUACUACACACACACAUCAUACACACACAUGCUCCAUCAGUCUUAUACUACACACACACAUCAUACACACACAUACUCCAUCAGUCUUAUACUACACACACAUCAUACACACACAUGCCCCAUCAGUCUUAUACUACACACACACAUCAUACACACACAUCAGUGGAGAACAGGGGCACAUGUAAAAUGAGAGUACUGUAUGGUACAAACCCCACU
rnacentral:lncRNA from 1 species